AAUGGAAGUGUCUGAGGAAAGAACAGAUUUAAAGAAACCCUGUUAAUCAUUAGAUGUUCAUUUAAUUGAUGGUGGAAUUAUCUAUGAAAGUCUAUGGCCUCACCGAGGUAAUGCAAUGAGGUUUUCUAAGGGAACCUUAAUUUGAUUUAUGUAGGCCCAUGGAAACUUCUGAUUCAAUGUUGGUAAAGUUCAUAUUCACAGUGUGAACACUGGACAGCUUUGCAAAUGCAGCUGACAAAUUGUUCACCUUUCUGAAUUAUAAGGUUUUUUGCAACUGCAAUCCAUGUUUUUCUAAAAUAACCCUCACAGGUCAUGGAGUUAAAAUAUUAGACCAUCUUUGUCGUUUCUCUCAUAGGCCUGACCUAAUCUUUUUGCUACCAGUCGAUCAUCUGUUAUUCAAAAGGCUUAGCAGUUAGAGUGUAUGCUUUCUUUUCCUUAGGAUGUGUUUCCUCUAAUUGUGUUUUGCAUAACGUAGCCAUCUUCCUUCUAGUUGGACUAGCCCAGUGAACACUUUGCUCCAACCCCUCUACAGCAUCAGAUGGAGUUUAUGGAUUCAUGCCUUUAAGGUUCAAUUUAUCUCUAACAAAAUUGUUUCACUUCAAACUGGAACAUGUGUGCCAACUUGCCUUGAAUUUCCAAAUUAAAAAGCCG
rnacentral:lncRNA from 1 species